AAGAGUCGUGAGAGGCCAGGUCACUUGCCCAAGUUCACACAGUCACACAACUGGCACAAAGUACUGCUUUGAAGCCAAAUUGACCGACUGCAGAGCCCAUUCUCUUAACCCUUUCUAUAACAAGAGUACCUGUAUCUGUUUGCCUGGCAUAUUGUAGGCACUCAAUAAACAUUAGUUUAUUUAUGGAAUUACAUGAAUUCUUGUUGGGAAUGCUUGCCAUUACAGAUCCCAUCUUUUUAAAAAAUUGGGAUAACUAUUACAUUAAAAUGAAAAGUUCAAGCCAGAAUUGGGAAGUAGAGCAGAAAUAAGAGCCGCAGAAACUUUCACAAUAAGAGCGUCAGCUUUUUCACAGCCCACAAGUCAUUUCAAGCCAUUUUCCAAGCAUGCCUCUCUCAUGCCUCUGUGAUGUUUCUAGGGACAUUUAGUGCUUGAAGUAUCUUAUAUUAUUCGAUGAGUGCAAUUCACGUUUAUCUUUCAAAAGUUCCUGCUUAAUAGCCUCUGAUAUGAAGUUUGUAUACUUCCUCUUCAGUUAUCAAGGACUCCGUUCUCCCUCUCCAAGCUGACAAGAAAACUACACCAGGAGAAUUUGGGAUUAAAGACUGAAUUCACAUUCUUUCUAACCAGUGGCCUUUUUUGGACUGUUAAAUCCUUGAUGCCAAAAGCUUCUGAUUGUGAAGCUAAUGAACCAAUGCCUAGUGUGAUUACCUCCAACUGCUAAAUGUAAUCCAAAGAACAUGCCUGAUUGCAAACAAUCUUGCCAAGCAUAGACAAAGGAAGACCAUUCAUUAAAACUACUUGUUUUCGAGCAGAUUCCAGCCCAGAUUUUAUUCAGCUGCCUAAUCAAGGAAGACUGCUUUCACUUUCUGCAAACUAGGCAGUAAAAGCCACAGAGGCCAAUGGCCUCCUGUAGAUUUUUCUAGGAGUUGGCAAACUAUGGCCCAUCAGCCACAUCUGACCUGCUUUCCUGUUUUGUAAAGCCCAUGAGCUAAGAAUAUUUUGUACAUUUUUAGAUGGUUGGGGAAAAAUCAAAAGAAGAUUACUAUUUUGUUAUGCCUGAGAAUGAAAUAAAAUUCACAUUUCAGUGUCCA